rnacentral:rRNA from 1 species
GACGAACGCUGGCGGCGUGCUUAACACAUGCAAGUCGAGCGGUAAGGCCUUUCGGGGUACACGAGCGGCGAACGGGUGAGUAACACGUGGGUGAUCUGCCCUGCACUCUGGGGUAAGCCUGGGAAACUGGGUCUAAUACUGGAUAUGACCUCAGCAUGCAUGUGCUGGGGGGGAAAGCUUUUGUGGUGCAGGAUGGGCCCGCGGCCCAUCAGCUUGUUGGUGGGGUAAUGGCCUACCAAGGCGACGACGGGUAGCCGACCUGAGAGGGUGACCGGCCACACUGGGACUGAGACACGGCCCAGACUCCUACGGGAGGCAGCAGUGGGGAAUAUUGCACAAUGGGCGGAAGCCUGAUGCAGCGACGCCGCGUGAGGGAUGAAGGCCUUCGGGUUGUAAACCUCUUUCAGCAGGGACGAAGCGUGAGUGACGGUACCUGCAGAAGAAGCACCGGCUAACUACGUGCCAGCCGCCGCCGUAAAAC